GAGAGGAGGUUAGAUUUCUGAGCUCUUUUUGCCAUCAUAAGCUUGGCACUUCAGACUCGAAUAACGUUCCUUGUUCUUCUAAGUUUUUGGACUAGAUUAACUACAACAUCACUUGAAAGGGAGGAAUUCCAAGUUGAGAUGACUACCUCAUUUAUUGAAUCAUGAGAAAGCCAGCUUUGAUCAAUUUGAAUAAGCUUCUUUUAAGAAUCCUUAAGCCACAAGAUAGAAGGAUUGGGAAAUGGUCUGAGCAUGAAUUAGGCAAGGCAAUUUGAAAAGCCAAAUGAAACAAAGUAUCCCACUCAGGAGAGAUGAGAAAACAAUCCAACCGAGCCAUAAUAGUAUGCUCUUGCUUAUGGCUCCAAGUGAAGAAUUGAUCCCUGAGAGGUAGGUCAAUUGGGUCA
rnacentral:lncRNA from 1 species